rnacentral:tRNA from 1 species
GAGAGGUGCUCGAGUGGUUGAAGAGGCACGCCUGGAAAGCGUGUAUACCUCCAAAGGGUAUCGAGGGUUCGAAUCCCUCUCUCUCC